rnacentral:tRNA from 1 species
GGCAACCUGGCCGAGCGGUCUAAGGCGCCAGGUUAAGGUAUAUCCUGGUCUCUUCGGAGGCGAGAGUUCGAAUCUCUCGGUUGUCA